CUACGGGUGGCACCAGUGGGGAAUAUUGGACAAUGGGGAAACCCUGAUCCAGCAAUGCCGCGUGUGUGAAGAAGGCCUGCGGGUUGUAAAGCACUUUCGGUUGGGAGGACUGCUUCUAGCACUAAUAUUGUUGGAAGUUGACGUUACCUUCAGAAGAAGCACCGGCUAACUCCGUGCCAGCAGCCGCGGUAAUAUGGAGGGUGCAAGCGUUAAUCGGAAUUACUGGGCGUAAAGCGCGCGUAGGCGGCUAGAUCAGUCGGGUGUGAAAGCCCCGGGCUUAACCUGGGAACUGCAUCCGAUACUGUCUAGCUUGAGUACAGGAGAGGAGAGUGGAAUUCCACAUGAAGCGGUGAAAUGCGUAGAUAUGUGGAGGAACACCAAUGGCGAAGGCAGCUCUCUGGCCUGAUACUGACGCUGAGGUGCGAAAGCGUGGGGAGCAAACAGGAUUAGAUACCCGCGUAGUC
rnacentral:rRNA from 1 species